rnacentral:rRNA from 1 species
CAUGGCUUUUUGAUAAUAAUUUAAAGUCUGGCCUGCCCUAUGAAUAUUUUUUAAAUGGCUGCGGUAUUUUGACCGUGCAAAGGUAGCAUAAUCAUUAGUUUUUUAAUUGAGAACUGGAAUGAAAGGUUUGACGAAGAAAAUACUGUCUCAAUUUAAUUUAAAUUAGAAUUUUAUUUUUAAGUAAAAAAGCUUAAAUUAUUUUAAAAGACGAGAAGACCCUAUAGAAUUUUAUAUUAUAUUAAAUAUUUGGAUAUUUAAGUAUAUAUAAUUUAAGUAUUUAUUAUAAUAUUUAGUUGGGGCAACUGAGAAAUUUAAUGAACUUUUUUUAUAUUUAAAACAUUAAUUUAUGAUUAAGUGAUCCAUAAUUUUAUGAUUAUAAGAUUAAAUUACCUUAGGGAUAACAGCGUUAUUUUUUUUUAGAGUUCUUAUCGAAAA